GAACGUAUGGCUUAGUUGGUCAGAGGGUUUGGACGGGUUCCAAGAGGCGCGGGUUCAAAACCCGCUACUUUAU
rnacentral:tRNA from 1 species